GAACCUACGGGACGCAGCAGUGGGGGAUAUUGCACAAUGGGGGGAACCCUGAUGCAGCGACGCCGCGUGGGUGAAGGAGCGUUUCGGCGCGUAAAGCCCUAUCGGCAGGGAAGAAGGAGGACGGUACCUGACUAAGAAGCCCCGGCUAACUACGUGCCAGCAGCCGCGGUAAUACGUAGGGGGCAAGCGUUAUCCGGAUUUACUGGGUGGAAAGGGAGCGUAGACGGCCAGACAAGUCUGAAGUGAAAAUCCAGCGCUUAACGGUGGAAGGGCUUUGGAAACUGCCGGGCGGGAGGGCAGGAGGG
rnacentral:rRNA from 1 species